CAACAAUCACACAUGAAAAAAGGAAGCAGAUCCAAUCGAAUCCCCUCACCCUCAACGAAGCGCUGCACCUCCGGCUUGUGGCGUCAGCCUUCUCUCCCUCCUCACCAGAUUUUGUCUUCGCCAUCGAGAGGUGUUAAGGGAGGCGCACGCGACGCGACGACGGCGGGGAGAAGCGGCGCAUUGGCGGACAGCCGGACAUCAGCGCAUAUGCAGCACAUAGCAGCGGCGGCUGUAAGGCCAUGGCGGACGAGCAGGUGGUGCGGCUGAGGGCGGGAGAAGAGAGGCUGGGCGGCGCCGGAGGCGGAGCUCGGCCGCAAGCGUGGCACGCACAGGGCAGUGCCGCGCGAGCGCCCUGCAGUCGCAUCACCGAGCGGCAACCCCGCCGCCACACUACUGCACGAGGGCAGCGCCACCGCAUCGCCGAGCCACAGCCCGGCCGUUCCCGGCCGGAGGUCGCCGACGCCUUUCCCAACUUUUGGGUUGGCACCCUGAUCGGACGCCUCCCUUUUGGUUAACAUGUUUCUAUGAAAUUGAACAUUUCAGUAACAUUCUGCUGUGUGUUCACAACUUCACAUUAAUUCAGAAAUUGUAUGUAUGAAUCGACUGCAUCCGAUGAUGUGCUUCUCCUGUUCCCUUGAAAGGAUUGCUGGAUGGAAAGAUGUUUUUGCUUUCAGGAUUUCUGGUGUGUGUACGACCCUCUAAGUAACUCUUUUUCAUCUCAUGCAGCAGCAGAGGCUUAGAGGAAGGCGCUGCAGCGUGGAUGCACAUGGGAUGCUGCAGAUACAUGUGCCAAAGAGGAGGAGAGUAUGAAAAGAUAAAGGAGUCAGGAAGGACCGAAGGAGAAAUCAUAUGAACAUGAACCUGAUGAUGACCCAUAGUUGGAUGUAUGUGAGAGGAUCCACAAAUUGUCAAGCACACAUGCUACAACCAUCAACUUCUGGGAUAUUAACUAUCUAACUUGGCAAUGUUCACAAAAUGGUUUCCAUCAUCUAUGUGAUUCUGUUUCCAUUAUAGCUGUUUGUUUCUCCAAUGACUAUGUCUACUGUUACGCACGAUAAGAAAUCUAUUCAGGCUAUGUCACUGCAUCCAAAAGACUUGGUACCCACGAGUUCGUUUUCCUAUUAUGUACAUUGCUGGAAGCCUGGAACCUUUAAAAAAAUUAUAACCUUACAAUUCAGUAUUUCAUAUGCCAUCUGAUGAUACAAGGUCUUCACAGGAAAAACAAUGGCACUUGCCCUUUUAGAAAACAAACAGAGGAUUUUUGGGCGAACCCUCACUUUUAAUGCAAGUUCACUGGACGACUACCAUAUCUUUAUGUACCAUUUGAUUGCUUGGAUGAAGUUUUUUUCUGGGGGAUUGCUUGGAUGAAGUUGAACGGGAGAUCCCCAUCAGCUUUUAGAAGGCAUGAUUUUGUUUGGUUGGUUUGGUGGACAAUUCAGGUAUAUAUCCCAUUAAAACUAAUAUAGCUCCAACCAGGGCAGAACCAAGUGGUUAAAAACUGAGUGAGCCGAGACAUUUCUUGACGCGACUGGUUAAGCUUAAAUUUCCAUGUGAUAUUCAUUUCUUAAGUAAUAAGGAGUUCCAUGCAAAGUUCUGCACCGAGCUUGAGCCAGGAAAGUUAAGUAGAACAUAGUCUGAUGAUCCAUUGACAAGGAAAUUUAAGCGAACACAGUUGUUGAUG
rnacentral:rRNA from 1 species